rnacentral:rRNA from 1 species
UACGGAGGAUGCAAGCGUUAUCCGGAAUGAUUGGGCGUAAAGCGUCCGCAGGUGGCUUUGUAAGUCUGCUGUUAAAGAGUGAGGCUCAACCUCAUAAGAGCAGUGGAAACUACAAGGCUAGAGUACGUUCGGGGCAGAGUGAAUUCCUGGUGUAGCGGUGAAAUGCGUAGAGAUCAGGAAGAACACCGGUGGCGAAAGCGCUCUGCUGGACUGCAACUGACAUUGAGGGACGAAAGCUAGGGGAGCGAAUGGG